UAGGGCGCGAGCGUUGUUCGGAAUCAUUGGGCGUAAAGGGCAUGUAGGCGGCCCGCCAGGUCGCGCGUGAAAUCCCGGGGCCCAACCCCGGGGCUGCGCGGGAAACCGGCGGGCUUGAGUCGGCGAGGCGGGGCCGGAAUUCCUGGUGUAGGGGUGAAAUCUGUAGAUAUCAGGAGGAACACCGGCGGCGAAGGCAGGCCGCGAGCGCAUGACUGACGCUGAGGUGCGAAGGCGCGGGGAGCGAA
rnacentral:rRNA from 1 species